rnacentral:rRNA from 1 species
UACGUAGGGUGCAAGCGUUGUCCGGAAUUAUUGGGCGUAAAGAGCUCGUAGGCGGUUUGUCGCGUCUGCUGUGAAAACUCGGGGCUUAACCCCGGGCCUGCAGUGGGUACGGGCAGACUAGAGUGCGGUAGGGGAGACUGGAAUUCCGCGUGUAGCAGUGAAAUGCGUAGAGAUGCGGAGGAACACCGAUGGCGAAGGCAGCCCCCUGGGCUGACACUGACGCUCAGGCACGAAAGCGUGGGGAGCAAACAGG